CGAGCGGCAUGGCGCCGGCCUCCCUCACCCCCCCACCUCCGGCCCCGAGCAUCCCCCGAGGGAACGCCGGGAGCCCCGCAGGGCCGCCCCGGGAGCAGGAGGAGGGCGGCCGGGCCGGGGCCGCCGCGAGGGGCAGCGCGGCGCCGCCUGAGGAGAGCCCGGCGGCGGAUGGCGGAGGCGCCGCGGGGAAGGGGCGCCGCCCGGCCCUGCACGGCCCCUCCGGCGGAGCGGGAGCCCGAGCUCGGGGCGGGGGGAGGAGGACGGCCCCGGCGCCGCUUUACCUGAAGACGCAGUCGUCUCUCGCGUCCCUGGCCGGGGAGGCCUGCUCGGGGCGGGGGGGACCCCAGCACAUCCCAGCACAGACAGAAAUAGCACUCCAAGCUGGGAGGAAGGAAGGCAGCCACGUGUGCUGUGUGCAGGGGAAGCCAUCGUACCCAUAAAACAUCCAUCUGCCAAACGCAUUUAGGACACAGCAACCCACACGUGAGUCCAGACCAAACACGAGCCAAAGGGACUGAGCAUUUUUUGCAAAAGUAUUUAUUAGGAUGGGUUUAAACCAAUGGUUACAGUUAACAGCCUCCUCCAACGUCUCACUGUGAAGACAGAAGAGUAGCAGAAAGUGAAAAUAAUUAAGAACUGAUUAAGUAGAAGUGACUCAUCUGCUUUCCCUGGAAAACGGAAUUAAACUAAGCUGGCAUGUGAUGUGACGUUACAUUAGAAAUACUUUUAAACAAGGAUCACUUCGUGUGUAAGAUACACAGCUGCCUGCAGGAUCUCUGGUUUUCAUCCGCUAGAAGUUGACGCUCAGAUAGAAAGCAGGAACUGAUGUUCAGAUGCAUCUUUCCCCCUUGUUCUGGAUGGAGGACACACCUGCGUGCUGCAGGCUCACAGAUGAGAGAUCUCUAUACCCCUUCACUAUGUGAAAGCCUUCAAACUGGGCACAUAAAUACAGUUUCAAAUAAGAUCUUCAAGUACAGAAUACAACAAAACAAUAGAAUUUGCCCAGGAAAUACAGCUGAGCUUUCAACAGUUUCACAAUUAACAGCACUGAAGACUGAGCCAAUGUCAAGUGAAUUCAAAUCCAAGUUGCCAGAGCCCCUUUAGAAGUGAGUCUAUUCCAAAGCUUCAAAGUUAACAGCAGGGGAGCCUGGCAAGCUUUGUUAACACACCUUAAUCAAGAGAGCAGAGGGGAGGAUGGAUAGGAAGAGAAAAAGAACAAAAUACGUUUCAUCAUCCAUUUUCCUGAAAAGCACAGGCAAAUCCUCACACCUGCACGCAAUACAUGAAUUUCAACUUCUCUGCCCAUUCAGGAUGCAUUGCCUCGGACUCCAAACCUGUCCCUUCUGUGUUCAGAGAUUACGAUUUACAGGACUAGCAAACAGAACCAUUUGCAUACGAAGGCUUCACACUCCAGCAGCUGGAACAGGUACCAGCACUCCAGUGAAAGAAAAAAACAUCUUCCAUCAUCUCCGAGCACUUUCAGUCUCCUAGAACCACCAUUCAUUUCAAAAAUAACUGCAAACUAUCAAUGAAAACCCUCUUACAUUUGUCCCUGUAAGGCUUUACUAAACAUGCAUCUACAGAGCACGCUUCACAGAUAGAAAGUUCUUGUGCAGUCUGACUCACUGUCAUUCCUUUCAAGCCAUUGGGACUUCGCCACAUCUAGGCUUGUGACAAAGCAGCCCCAUUGAUACUGCGAGGACUUCCCUCCUCAAUCAGUGCACAAAUAAGCUCUUCUGUACUAUCCCAUCAACUGCCUGUGACCUAUAACCUUUAUCCACUAACAUGGAAGGACCAGUUUCCACUUCGAGAGAAAUUUUAUAUAGCCAUUCUUCAGUUUGAAACCAAAGCAUGGGAAAGUGCCUACCCUUUCAGAAAAGCAGAACAAGAGUGGAUAUUGUUCUGGCCUCAAAACGAGUAGCAUUUCCUUUCCUGGGGCAGAGAGCUAGCCUGGUAAUUAAUUACACUUUCUCUCAUCUCAAAAGAUGAAAAUAAGAAGCAGCACUUUUGUAACUGAGGGGAAGGACAAGAGAGAUUGUGGUUUGUGAUACUUCUGUCCUCCUGUACAGCCUCAUCACACUGAGAGAAAGAAAAGUACAACACUGCAGUUUUCAGGCUGCUCCAGCCAACCCCACAGUUGCAGGCAAUACCUUAUAAACCUUAUAAGGUAUUGCCUUAUAAACAAUAAUAUAAAACAAAAUUAUAAGGUAUACCCUUAUAAACAACAUCUUUUUACUCUGGUUCAAGUUGAGAAUGAUCAACGAUCAUAAUCCUAACUUAUUGCAUACCUCAGUUUUGCUUAAAGCUACAUCGAGGUGCUAACCCUUUUCUCCUAGGGGCUCCAGAUUCUUGCACACUUCAUUACCAGCAGCUUUUUAUUUGUAAGAACAAGGAUCCCGGUAAUUAGAAGCAUUCCUGGAAGCACUCCAACAAGACACUAGGAGAAUACUAUCUACUAAUGCUUAAAGGAAAAAUAAUUUAAUGCCAUGAUUGUUAACCUUGAGCCAUAUGAUAUGCUUAGACAACAUUUGUUUAGAAACUAAAUCCAAGUGCGUCUAUCUGCACUUCCUUCUAACCCAGAGCAAUGGGAAAAGGCCCAGGGUCUGAACUUCCACAGGUCUGCU
rnacentral:lncRNA from 1 species